rnacentral:rRNA from 1 species
GGAUCCAGACUUUGAUUCUGGCUCAGGACGAACGCUGGCGGCGCGCCUAACACAUGCAAGUCGAACGGAGAUUACAGGCGGAAGUUUUCGGAUGGAAGCUUGUAAACUUAGUGGCGGACGGGUGAGUAACACGUGAGCAACCUGCCUAUCAGAGGGGGAUAACGAUUGGAAACGAUCGCUAAUACCGCAUGACAUAGCGGAACCGCAUGGUUUUGCUAUCAAAGAUUUUAUCGCUGAUAGAUGGGCUCGCGUCCGAUUAGAUAGUUGGUGGGGUAACGGCCUACCAAGUCGACGAUCGGUAGCCGGACUGAGAGGUCGAACGGCCACAUUGGGACUGAGACACGGCCCAGACUCCUACGGGAGGCAGCAGUGGGGGAUAUUGCACAAUGGGGGAAACCCUGAUGCAGCGACGCCGCGUGAGGGAAGACGGUCCUCUGGAUUGUAAACCUCUGUCUUCGGGGACGAAAGUAGACGGUACCCGAGGAGGAAGCCACGGCUAACUACGUGCCAGCAGCCGCGGUAAUACGUAGGUGGCAAGCGUUGUCCGGAAUUACUGGGUGUAAAGGGAGCGUAGGCGGGCAGGCAAGUCAGGCGUGAAAUAUAUCGGCUCAACCGGUAACGGCGCUUGAAACUGCAGGUCUUGAGUGAAGUAGAGGUUGGCGGAAUUCCUAGUGUAGCGGUGAAAUGCGUAGAUAUUAGGAGGAACACCAGUGGCGAAGGCGGCCAACUGGGCUUUUACUGACGCUGAGGCUCGAAAGUGUGGGGAGCAAACAGGAUUAGAUACCCUGGUAGUCCACACCGUAAACGAUGAUUACUAGGUGUGGGGGGACUGACCCCUUCCGUGCCGGAGUUAACACAAU